GACGAAGGGGGCUAGCGUUGUUCGGAAUUACUGGGCGUAAAGCGCGUGUAGGCGGUUGUCCAAGUCGGGUGUGAAAGCCUUGAGCUCAACUCAAGAAAUGCACUCGAUACUGGGCGACUAGAGUGCCGGAGAGGAUAGUGGAAUUCCCAGUGUAGUGGUGAAAUACGUAGAUAUCUGGAGGAACACCGGUGGCGAAGGCGGCAUCCUGGACCAACACUGACGCUGAGUGAGCGAAAGCCAGGGGAGCAAACGGG
rnacentral:rRNA from 1 species